GUGAGGAAUAUUGGUCAAUGGGCGAGAGCCUGAACCAGCCAAGUCGCGUGAAGGAAGACGGCCCUACGGGUUGUAAACUUCUUUUGCAAUGGAAUAAAAAGAGUUACGUGUAAUUCAUUGUAUGUACAUUGCGAAUAAGGAUCGGCUAACUCCGUGCCAGCAGCCGCGGUAAUACGGAGGAUCCGAGCGUUAUCCGGAUUUAUUGGGUUUAAAGGGUGCGUAGGCGGAUUGGAAAGUCAGCGGUGAAAGUUUGCAGCUUAACUGUAAAAUUGCCAUUGAAACUGUCAGUCUUGAGUGCAAAUGAGGUAGGCGGAAUGUGUUGUGUAGCGGUGAAAUGCAUAGAUAUAACACAGAACACCAAUUGCGAAGGCAGCUUACUGGGAUGCAACUGACGCUGAGGCACGAAAGCGUGGGGAUCAAACAGGAUUAGAAUCCCUUGUAGUCC
rnacentral:rRNA from 1 species